rnacentral:rRNA from 1 species
AUUAAAAAAAAUUAUUUUUUAAAGAUUAAAUAUGUUGAAUUUUAACAAAUUUUUAUUACUGAGAAGGAAAUUUUUUAAAUAAAAAGAACAAAUUUUUGGUACUUUUUGCAUCACGGUUUAUAGAAUAAUAAUAUAAAUAAUAUUAUUCCCGAAUUAAUUAUGAUCUAUUUUUUUAAAAAUUUAAAUGUUUCAAAAUUUUUUAAAAUAAAAAAAUUGAAGCUAUAAGUGACACGAAUAUUAAGAUAUCUGGUUUUUUAUGAAAUUGAUUUAAUCAAUUUUUUCUUUUGUAAUUAUUAAAAUAGUUAUUAAUAUUUUUAUAAAGAAAAUAAUAGAUUUUUAAGGUUAAGCUAAAAAAUAUGAUAUUAAUUUUAACUUUUUAUUUAGUUAUUAAUUCUAAUAUUAGGAUUUUAUUAUAUAAUAAGAAAAAUCUUUAUUUUUUACAAAAAUUAUAUUAAGUAAUAAAAUAAAAAACUUAAUUUUUAAAGUCUUUAAAAAAAUUAUAAAAUGAGUAAAAUUUAUAAAAAUUUUUUAGGAACUAGGCAAAUAUAAAAUCUGAAUGUUUAUCAAAAACAUUUUCUUUUUUUAAUAUAAAAGAUAAGUUCUGUUCACUGACUAUAUGUUAAAGAACCGCAGGAAACUGUGCUAAGGUAGCAAAAUAAAUUGUAUAUUAAUUGUAUUCCAGAAUGAAUGAAUCAACAAGAUUUUUACUUUCUUAAAAAUUAUAAUUUAAUUUUGAUUUUAAGUUAAAAUUCUUAAAUUAAGAUGUAAGACGAGAAGACCCUGUAGAUCUUUAAAUUUUAAAUCUAUUAUUUAGAUGGAAAAAUUUUGGUUGGGGAAACAAUUAAAGCGAAAAAUCUUUGAUUUUCUAAACCUUAAAUUAAAGGAAUAAUAAUCUUUAAUUAUUAAGAUUAAUAUAAAGUUACCUCAGGGAUAACAGCGUUAUUAAAUUUUUGAGAUCUUAUUAAAAAUUUAGAUUGCGACCUCGAUGUUGAAUUAAGAUUACAUUUAUACGCAGAAAGAUAAAUAGUUAGUCUGUUCGACUAUUUAAAUCUUACAUGAUUUGAGUUAAGACCGACGUGAGUCAGGUCAGUUUCUAUCUACAUCGUUAUUUUCUUUUUUAGUACGAAAGGACACAAAAGAAGUUUGUUUAAAACAAAA